rnacentral:rRNA from 1 species
UACGUAGGUGGCAAGCGUUGUCCGGAUUUACUGGGCGUAAAGAGCGCGCAGGCGGUCGUUCAAGUCGCGUGUGGAAGCCCCCGGCUCAACUGGGGAGGGUCACGCGAUACUGAUCGACUCGAAGGCAGGAGAGGGUAGUGGAAUUCCCGGUGUAGUGGUGAAAUGCGUAGAGUAUCGGGAGGAACACCAGUGGCGAAGGCGACUACCUGGCCUGUUCUUGACGCUGAGGCGCGAAAGCUAGGGGAGCAAACGGG